rnacentral:rRNA from 1 species
UACGAAGGGGGCUAGCGUUGUUCGGAUUUACUGGGCGUAAAGCGCACGUAGGCGGAUCGAUCAGUCAGGGGUGAAAUCCCAGAGCUCAACUCUGGAACUGCCUUUGAUACUGUCGAUCUGGAGUAUGGAAGAGGUGAGUGGAAUUCCGGAGUGUAGAGGUGAAAUUCGUAGAUAUUCGGAGGAACACCAGUGGCGAAGGCGGCUCACUGGUCCAUUACUGACGCUGGAGGUGCGAAAGCGUGGGGAGCAAACAGG